CAUACCGAACACAGUAGUUAAGCACAUAUACGCCGAAAGUACUUGUCUGGAGACGGACUGGGAGGAUAGGGAGUUGCCAGUU
rnacentral:rRNA from 1 species